UACGGAGGAUGCGAGCGUUAUCCGGAUUUAUUGGGUUUAAAGGGUGCGUAGGCGGGAUGCCAAGUCAGCGGUAAAAAUGCGGUGCUCAACGCCGUCGAGCCGUUGAAACUGGCGUUCUUGAGCGGGCGAGAAGUAUGCGGAAUGCGUGGUGUAGCGGUGAAAUGCAUAGAUAUCACGCAGAACUCCGAUUGCGAAGGCAGCAUACCGGCGCCCUACUGACGCUGAGGCACGAAAGCGUGGGUAUCGAACAGG
rnacentral:rRNA from 1 species